AAUACUCCAAGCCUGAAGAGCUCGUUCGCUUGUAUGAUCUCCUACUUCAGAAUACUGCUGAUCUUUGCGACCUACUAACUUCUGGAAGAGACCAAAAAUCGGAAGAAGUGUCACUAGCCGAGGAGUGUGAACUUAAGACUCUUGUUUUGCGAGCGGAAAGGUGCUUUUACUUAGCCUUGUCAUAUGGUUUGGCUGGAAAAAGGGUGGAAGCAUACACGUUGUAUUGUCGUGCUCGCUCUUUAGCAGAGGAGGCUCUUCAAAGAUGUGACAGUUCAGGCAGUAGAGAUGAGACAGUGCGGAGAGAGUUGAAUACUUUACAUGAUGAGAGCAGAUCUAACAGUUGCAUAGAGCAUGCAAAAGGAAUUAUAGAGGAGUUCAAGGGUCCUGAGAAUCUCUCGAAGAAAAUAUCUACUAUAUCAUUGUCUGGGACUGAUAAGAAGGCACUCUUUGGUUUCCUUU